rnacentral:misc_RNA from 1 species
UUUUAAUUAUUUUUUAACACUCUUUAACUAGUAUAUAUAAAAAAGUGAUUUUCUCGAUAGUAGUUUCAACAAUAAUACUAAAUAGGUCCAUACUCUUAUAUGCGAUCAAUAUUCUUGGGAGCUGUGAAUGAAACAAAGUCUCUAGACUCUAUGCAUCUCAUUAACUUUUCCACUUAAUCCAAUGCAGUCUUUAGAGCAUAAUUGUCAAUUAUUUGAGACGCACAGGUCUCCUAUUUACUCUCUUUGAAUUUAUUCAUUCCUACCUAUCAUUGCACAAUCUCAUUCAUGAUACAUACCCUCAUAUGCAUAUCUUUUCAGAUAAAUGCCUUUGAUCAAAUGAAGUCUAUGAUUUACGUAGAUAAUUAG